rnacentral:other from 1 species
AUCCCCCUGCCCUGUUCGACAGCAGCCCUUUUUCAACCCACAUCUCUUAUACGGGAUUCCGAAGAAUCUUCUUCGGUGGAGCGCAGGCCUCCCGCGAAUCAAAAGCGGAAGUUGGAAGCACGGAAACCGGAGAUAGGAAACCCACCUGCUCUUACGUGCAGGUUAGCAAUGGGGCUGCAUCGGCAGAGGCGGGGGCCUU